GCUACGUAGGGGCAGGAGGCGGGGGGAAUACGUGGGGGGGUAGGGGUGGCCGGAAUCAGUGGGCGGAAAGCGCGUGUAGGCGGGCCGGUAAGUCCGCGGUGAAAGUCGGGGGCUCAACCCUCGAAGGCCGGUGGAUACUGUCGGGCUAGAGUGCGGAAGAGGCGAGUGGAAUUCCUGGUGUAGCGGUGAAAUGCGCAGAUAUCAGGAGGAACACCAAUUGCGAAGGCAGCUCGCUGGGACGUAACUGACGCUGAGACGCGAAAGCGUGGGGAGCAAACAGGAUUAGAUACCCCGGUAGUC
rnacentral:rRNA from 1 species